CAGCCUGAGAUAAAAGGUCAACUCUCAACUUGUCUUGACCUACCAGGUCUCAUCCCUUUAACUUGCCAAAAUGAGGUUCCCUGCUCAGCUCCUGGGGUUCCUCAUGCUCUGGUUUCCAGGGUCCAGUGGAGAGGUUGUGAUGACACAGACCCCACUCUUCCUGCCCGUCACCCCCGGAGAACCAGCCUCCAUUUCCUGCAGGGCCAGUCAGAGCCUACUACACAGUGAUGGAAACACUUAUUUGUAUUGGUACCUGCAAAAGCCAGGCCAGUCUCCACAGCUUCUGAUCUAUGGGGUUUCCUACCGUUUCCUUCGGGUUCCGGGCAGGUUCAGUGGCAGUGGGUCAGGGACAGAUUUCACCCUGAGAAUCAGCAGGGUGGAGGCUGACGAUAUGGGAGUUUAUUACUGCAUGCAAUAUGGAUCCACGAGUUCCCUGAGCCUUAGCCACUCCCUGAGGACUGAACGCUUCUGCCUAUUGCCCCAGGCCUUCCUCUGCAUCCCAUUCCCACCUAGCAUCUCGCUCAAAUAG